rnacentral:rRNA from 1 species
UACGGGGGGGGCAAGCGUUGUUCGGAAUUACUGGGCGUAAAGGGCUCGUAGGCGGCCAACUAAGUCAGACGUGAAAUCCCCAGGCUCAACCUGGGAACUGCGUCUGAUACUGGAUGGCUUGAAUCCGGGAGAGGGAUGCAGAAUUCCAGGUGUAGCGGUGAAAUGCGUAGAUAUCUGGAGGAAUACCGGUGGUGAAGACGGGUUGCUGGGCCAACACUGACGCUGAGGCGCGAAAGCCAGGGGAGCAAACGGG